rnacentral:misc_RNA from 1 species
GUUUAAUAAUAACGGAACAAUUGGGAUUUCAGUGAAACCCUAGCUGAGGGUUUAGGCGCGCACACAGAGAGAGAUGGCAGAGAGGGACGAUUACAAGUUUCUUCAAAUAAAAGACGCAAUCGCUUCCAUCAACCAGAAAGUUAAUCUCAUCGGAGCAAUUCUCGAGUACGGUUUACCCAAGAAAACCAGAGGCACUGGUACUAUUAUUUUCAUUCCUCCUUAUAACCUAUAUAAGCUAAACUACUAAAGAAAUCGUUAUUUUGGUUGGCGAUGAUGACAAAAGAAGGCCGGACUUACGGCUGCUACCGUUAUUAAUUUCUUUGGGUUUUGGUAGUAGAUUGAUGAAUCCUCUGGGUAAAGGUGUAAUGUCUGAGCCGGCUUUCUUUUUUCUAAUUUUUAAAAUUUUUUGUUCAAUCAAAUUUUCUUUUAAUUUUUCAGAUUGGUUGUGUACGCUGAAAAUAAUCGAUGAAUCAUAUCCCAAACCUGGGAUAUCAGUUAAUAUUUUCGCCUCAAGUAUGGAAAAUCUUCCUCGUAUUUCUUCACUUGGAGAUAUAAUUCAGCUCACUCGUGUCGUGAUGAAGACUCAUCAUGGGGAAGUAAAUGCUGUUUUCAACAAAGCAUUCUCUUCUUUUGCUUUAUAUGAAGGGAAAAAUGGUGAAGGCUUUGUUCCUUAUCAAUGUUCUUCAAGAUAUCACCCUAGAGACCGGGACUCAAAGUUUGUAUUAGGCUUGAGAAAAUGGUUAGCUAACUUUCACCUUGAUGAAGGUCCAAAUAGCUUCUCGUUCCUGAGAGAGAUGAAGGAAGGGGAACAAGCUAAUUUGCUUUGUAAGGUGCUUCAUGUAUGUGAGGUUUCUGAGCAUGAGUGGAUGGCCUUUGUUUGGGAUGGAACUGAUUCUCCACCACUCAACAUUGGGACAAGGCUAGAAAAUGAAAUGGAUAGUCCGCUUCCCUUACAAUUGGAACCCAUACCUUUGCCAAGAGAUUUGUUAUGUACGUUUCCAACUGCUGGAACAAUAUUAAGGGUAAUCAUUGCCAAAGGCAACGAGAAGCAUAUUCUCCACUUAUUGAGUGCUGGUAAAUGGGUGAGAUUUCUCAACAUUCUUUGUGAAGUGCAUGAAGGAUUAUGGCGUGGUGUGUUGACGCCCUUCACAAAGAUUUGUUACGUGUCAAAUGACAACCAUCUCAUUUUAGGGUGCCAGAGGUCUUACAAUGAGCGCUUGUCAUUGGAAUUGGGGCGCAUUCCAUACUGGUGCUUUCCUUGGUGUUCACAGCUUACAGAGGUUGAUUAUGACCAUGUGCCUUUUGUUACAUUAAUGGAUGUUCUCACCUGUUCACAGGUGACAGCUAAAUUCAAGUGUAUAGUUCGAGUAGUGGCUGCAUUACCAUGGCGUGUUGAGGAUUUCUGCUCUCAUAGUGGAACCUACAGGAUUAGACUGACCAUGGAGGAUCCAACUGCUAGAAUCCAUGCCUUUCUGUUUGAUGAAGAUGGGGAGAAGUUUUUUUAUGGGUAUCCCUCCAUUGAUGUAUUAACAAGGAAGCGAAACAAAUUGCUUGGCGUGCCCGUAAAUGAUGAUGGCAAAGAAAUUGAGGAUGCUGCAAGAAAACCACCUUGGGUGCAGUGUUGCAUAAAAUCCUAUUACCUUGACAGAAAUAACACUUGGGGAAGUAGGCAUUUUAUAUAUAUAUGGCACCAAGCUUGUAGAUUACUAAGUUGGAUAACCAUUGUCAGAUAUGCUAUAACUAUCUAAUAUAUUGUGUAACCCAGUCUUAGAACAUAAAUAAGCUGUAGGCAGUCCUUGUAUAUUUUAUUUUGAAUCUUUCAGUUUAGGGAGAGACACAAUAGAGAACCAACAUGUAUCCAUCUUACAAGAUAAUUCUUGAUUUUCCAGUUAUGUUCAUUUUUACCUUCAAAAAGAUUGUAUACCACAGGGAAUUGCAGAUUGGUCUGGUCUUGGACUUCAACUCGAAAAAGUAAUUGAGUUCCACCUUUUUACAAGUCAUGGAAAAUCUAUUUGAUUAUUGUGCUCGUUUGAUUAUUUAUAUAUAAUUUUAAAUAAAAACAAAUAUAAGAUUAUUGAGUUGAAAUUUGAAUAUUUAUUUAGAUCCAUUUCCUGAAGAUUAAAGUUAUUUUGAAUGUGUAUUGCAUUUGCAUAGGUUCAUGUUCAUAUUUAGUUGUUUAUUAAACAUUGAAUUUAAAUUGUUUGGGUUCGGGUAUCCUAUAUGCUUAGAUUUUUUUUUCUAUUUUCCAAAUGCAUAAUAAAAUAACGGGUUAUGUAAUAUGCGGGUAUUAGUAAUCGGAUUCAUGACAGGUUUGGGUAAUAAAAAAUACAUUUUAUUCAGGUUUGAGACAGGUUCGGGUAGCUCAUAUAUUACACGGGUUCAAGUUUGGAUACUUUAAAAUUCACGGGUGCCCUACCCAUUGCCAUCUUUACUUCAACCCAGUACCUCAAAAAUUCAUGGCUCAAACUUAACCACCAGACCAAAUACUCCAAUGGGUAUUUCCUCCAACCUCAUCCCCCCUCUUAAAUUUCCUCUUUCUUGCUCUAGAUUUCUUGGUCACUAAGAAUCCUAGCCUAGUCUCAAGGAGAUUGAGAUUUU